rnacentral:lncRNA from 1 species
GAAUUCAGAGACACAAAUUAAUGCGAUUGUUGAUAAGGAGAAGGUGGAAAGAGAAGUGGAAAAGAUAGAAGAGGAGAGAAUAGAGGAAGAUGAGGCAGAAAGGUUGAGUGAGGGAGAGAAAGAUGAGGAGAAAGAAAAAGCAGUGGUUGAGAAAAAAGAAAAAAAUAAGAAAAUAAUAAAAAAGAAAAAAAGAAAGGGGAAGGAGGAGAAGGUUAGAAAAAAAGGAAGAGAGGAAAGAAGAAAAGAUCACAUGAAAAACCCCUUUCCUCAUAAAAAG